GGGAGAUAGCGACUGUCAGUCGGUGGGUCGGUCCUCGCGCCGGCCCUCCCCCUCCCCGGUCUCCGGGGGAGGCGCGGUGGAGUCCGUCCCCGGGGUUCUCCGAUGGGGGAGAAGCGGCGACGGCGGCAGUGGAGUAACCGAGCCGGAGCGUGAGCGGCCCCGGUGCCCCGUUCCCCGCGGAGGCCAUGGGCGACCCAGCCCCCGCCCGCAGCCUGGACGACAUCGACCUGUCCGCCCUGCGGGACCCUGCUGGGAUCUUUGAGCUUGUGGAGGUGGUCGGCAAUGGAACCUAUGGACAGGUGUACAAGGGUCGGCAUGUCAAGACGGGGCAGCUGGCUGCCAUCAAGGUCAUGGAUGUCACGGAGGAUGAGGAGGAAGAGAUCAAACAGGAGAUCAACAUGCUGAAAAAGUACUCUCACCACCGCAACAUCGCCACCUACUAUGGAGCCUUCAUCAAGAAGAGCCCCCCGGGAAACGAUGACCAGCUCUGGCUGGUGAUGGAGUUCUGUGGUGCUGGUUCAGUGACUGACCUGGUAAAGAACACGAAAGGCAACGCCCUGAAGGAGGACUGUAUCGCCUAUAUCUGCAGGGAGAUCCUCAGGGGUCUGGCGCAUCUCCAUGCCCACAAGGUGAUCCAUCGAGACAUCAAGGGGCAGAAUGUGCUGCUGACAGAGAAUGCUGAGGUCAAGCUAGUGGAUUUUGGGGUGAGUGCUCAGCUGGACCGCACCGUGGGCAGACGGAACACUUUCAUUGGGACUCCCUACUGGAUGGCUCCAGAGGUCAUCGCCUGUGAUGAGAACCCCGAUGCCACCUACGAUUACAGGAGUGACAUUUGGUCUCUAGGAAUCACAGCCAUCGAGAUGGCAGAGGGAGCCCCCCCUCUGUGUGACAUGCACCCCAUGCGAGCCCUCUUCCUCAUUCCUCGGAACCCUCCGCCCAGGCUCAAGUCCAAGAAGUGGUCUAAGAAGUUCAUUGACUUCAUUGACACAUGUCUCAUCAAGACUUACCUGAGCCGCCCACCCACGGAGCAGCUACUGAAGUUUCCCUUCAUCCGGGACCAGCCCACGGAGCGGCAGGUCCGCAUCCAGCUUAAGGACCACAUUGACCGAUCCCGGAAGAAGCGGGAGGAGACAGAAUAUGAGUACAGCGGCAGCGAGGAGGAAGAUGACAGCCAUGGAGAGGAAGGAGAGCCCAGCUCCAUCAUGAACGUGCCUGGAGAGUCGACUCUACGCCGAGAGUUUCUCCGGCUCCAGCAGGAAAAUAAGAGCAACUCAGAGGCUUUAAAACAGCAGCAGCAGCUGCAGCAGCAGCAGCAGCGAGACCCCGAGGCACACAUCAAACACCUGCUGCACCAGCGGCAGCGGCGCAUAGAGGAGCAGAAGGAGGAGCGGCGCCGCGUGGAGGAGCAACAGCGGCGGGAGCGGGAGCAGCGGAAGCUGCAGGAGAAGGAGCAGCAGCGGCGGCUGGAGGACAUGCAGGCUCUGCGGCGGGAGGAGGAGCGGCGGCAGGCGGAGCGCGAGCAGGUAGAGCGCCGCACCCACAUCCCUGCCCUCCCGCCCUCCCGCUCCUGCUGCCUGCCGCCCCUGCUCCCCGUGCCCUUCCCCCUUCUCUCCCCCACCCCCAGAUUCCUCCUAUCUUUUCUAGCUUCACUCUUUCUCUCUGUUUUCUCCCACCCUUCAACCCCAACCCUGGCCCCCUCCCUCCUCCUUCCCUGCCUCAUUCCCAUCUCUUUACCCCAUCCCUGACUCCCCGGUCCCUUCCUCAUCCCCCCUCAUUCCCUGUGCCCUCUUCUUCCCCAUCUGUGCCGCAUGGCCCCCUGGGGCUCAUGCCAUCCCCUCCCCUACCUCUCUCUUACUCUUCCCCUGCACCCCCUCAUCCUCCUCCUGCGGAUCCCUUCCUCCUCCUCCAACUCGCUGCUGCUGCCCUCCUCUGCCUCUUCCUCCUUCUCUGCCCUCUGCCCCCCACCCCACACCCCGUCCCCCAGGAAUAUAUUCGUCACAGGCUAGAGGAGGAGCAGCGACAGCUCGAGAUCCUUCAGCAACAGCUGCUCCAGGAACAGGCCCUGCUGCUGGUAACGGGUCCCUCAGCGUCCUCUGGGAAGAUGCUUUUCAGAGCUUCUUUGCUGGAACGGGAUGGGAACACUUCAAGGGAAGGGAUUCACCCAGGACAUCAAGGGAAUACAUCUCCUCUCUAGGCAGUUGGAGGAAAGAGAGCGCAUGCCUGCUCUAACUCCCAGGGCCACACCCUGCUGAGCCCUGUCUCCCUACCCUUGGGCCCAGGAGUACAAGCGGAAGCAGCUGGAGGAGCAGCGGCAGUCAGAGCGUCUCCAGAGGCAGCUGCAGCAGGAGCAUGCCUACCUCAAGUCCCUGCAGCAGCAGCAACAGCAGCAGCAGCUUCAGAAACAGCAGCAGCAGCAGCAGCUCCUGCCUGGGGACAGGAAGCCCCUGUACCAUUAUGGUCGGGGCAUGAACCCCGCUGACAAACCAGCCUGGGCCCGAGAGGUAGAAGAGAGAACAAGGAUGAACAAGCAGCAGAACUCUCCCUCGGCCAAGAGCAAGCCAGGCAGCACGGGGCCUGAGCCCCCCAUCCCCCAGGCCUCCCCCGGGCCCCCAGGACCCCUUUCCCAGACUCCUCCUAUGCAGAGGCCGGUGGAGCCCCAGGAGGGACCGCACAAGUCCCUGCAGGACCAGCCCACCCGAAACCUGGCUGCCUUCCCAGCCUCCCCUGACCCCGACCCUGCCAUCCCCGCACCCACUGCCACGCCCAGUGCCCGAGGAGCUGUCAUCCGCCAGAAUUCAGACCCCACCUCUGAAGGACCUGGCCCCAGCCCGAACCCCCCAGCCUGGGUCCGCCCAGAUAACGAGGCCCCACCGAAGGUGCCUCAGAGGACCUCAUCUAUCGCCACUGCCCUUAACACCAGUGGGGCCGGAGGGUCCCGGCCAGCCCAGGCAGUCCGUGCCAGUAACCCCGACCUCAGGAGGAGCGACCCUGGCUGGGAACGCUCGGACAGCGUCCUUCCGGCCUCUCACGGGCACCUCCCCCAGGCUGGCUCACUGGAGCGGAACUGCGUGGGAGCCUCCUCCAAACUGGACAGCUCCCCAGUGCUCUCCCCUGGGAAUAAAGCCAAGCCCGAUGACCACCGCUCACGGCCAGGCCGGCCCGCAAGCUAUAAGCGAGCAAUUGGUGAGGACUUCGUGUUGCUGAAGGAGCGGACCCUGGACGAGGCCCCUCGGCCUCCCAAGAAGGCCAUGGACUACUCAUCGUCCAGCGAGGAGGUGGAAAGCAGUGAGGAGGACGAGGAGGAAGGCGAAGGCGGGCCAGCAGAGGGGAGCAGAGACACCCCUGGGGGCCGCAGCGAUGGGGAUACAGACAGCGUCAGCACCAUGGUGGUCCACGACGUCGAGGAGAUCACCGGGACCCAGCCCCCAUACGGGGGCGGCACCAUGGUGGUCCAGCGCGUGAGUGAGCCUCUGCUCCCUCCCCUGUACCUGUGUGUGCCCUCCUCAGCCCCACGCCAACCCUACUCUCUGUCCUGUAGACCCCUGAAGAGGAGCGGAACCUGCUGCAUGCUGACAGCAAUGGGUAUACAAACCUGCCUGACGUGGUCCAGCCCAGCCAUUCACCCACCGAGAACAGCAAAGGCCAAAGCCCACCCUCGAAGGAUGGGAGCGGUGACUACCAGUCUCGUGGGCUGGUAAAGGCCCCUGGCAAGAGCUCGUUCACGAUGUUUGUGGAUCUAGGGAUCUACCAGCCUGGAGGCAGUGGGGACAGCAUCCCCAUCACAGCCCUAGUGGGUGGAGAGGGCACUCGGCUCGACCAGCUGCAGUACGACGUAAGGAAGGGCUCUGUGGUCAACGUGAAUCCCACCAACACCCGGGCCCACAGUGAGACCCCUGAGAUCCGGAAGUACAAGAAGCGAUUCAACUCCGAGAUCCUCUGUGCAGCCCUUUGGGGGGUCAACCUGCUGGUGGGCACGGAGAACGGGCUGAUGUUGCUGGACCGAAGUGGGCAGGGGAAGGUGUAUGGACUCAUUGGGCGGCGACGCUUCCAGCAGAUGGAUGUGCUGGAGGGGCUCAACCUGCUCAUCACCAUCUCAGGGAAAAGGAACAAGCUGCGGGUGUAUUACCUGUCCUGGCUCCGGAACAAGAUUCUGCACAAUGACCCAGAAGUGGAGAAGAAGCAGGGCUGGACCACUGUGGGGGACAUGGAGGGCUGCGGGCACUACCGUGUCGUGAAAUACGAGCGGAUUAAGUUCCUGGUCAUCGCCCUCAAGAGCUCCGUGGAGGUGUAUGCCUGGGCCCCCAAGCCCUAUCACAAAUUCAUGGCCUUCAAGUCCUUUGCCGACCUCCCCCACCGCCCUCUGCUGGUCGACCUGACAGUAGAGGAGGGGCAGCGGCUCAAGGUCAUCUAUGGCUCCAGUGCUGGCUUCCAUGCUGUGGAUGUCGACUCGGGGAACAGCUAUGACAUCUACAUCCCUGUGCACAUCCAGAGCCAGAUCACGCCCCAUGCCAUCAUCUUCCUCCCCAACACCGACGGCAUGGAGAUGCUGCUGUGUUAUGAGGACGAGGGUGUCUACGUCAACACGUACGGGCGGAUCAUUAAGGAUGUGGUGCUGCAGUGGGGAGAGAUGCCUACUUCUGUGGCCUACAUCUGCUCCAACCAGAUAAUGGGCUGGGGUGAGAAGGCCAUUGAGAUCCGCUCUGUGGAGACAGGCCACCUCGACGGGGUCUUCAUGCACAAACGAGCUCAGAGGCUCAAGUUCCUGUGUGAGCGGAAUGACAAGGUGUUUUUUGCCUCAGUCCGCUCUGGGGGCAGCAGCCAAGUUUACUUCAUGACUCUGAACCGUAACUGCAUCAUGAACUGGUGACGGGGCCCUGGGCUGGGGCUGUCCCACACUGGACCCAGCUCUCCCCCUGCAGCCAGGCUUCCCGGGCCGCCCCUCUUUCCCCUCCCUGGGCUUUUGCUUUUACUGGUUUGAUUCACUGGAGCCUGCUGGGAACGUGACCUCUGACCCCUGAUGCUUUCGUGAUCACGUGACCAUUCUCUUCCCCAACAUGUCCUCUUCCCAAAACUGUGCCUGUCCCCAGCUUCUGGGGAGGGACACAGCUUCCCCUUCCCAGGAAUUGAGUGGGCCUAGCCCCUCCCCCUUUUUCUCCAUUUAAGAGGAGAGUGCUUGGGGCUUGAACCCCUUCCCCCACUGCUGCUGACUGGGCAGGGCCCUGGACCCCUUUAUUUGCACGUCAGGGGAGCCGGCUCCCCCCUUGAAUGUACCAGACCCUGGGGGGGGUCACUGGGCCCUAGAUUUUUGGGGGGUCACCAGCCACUCCAGGGGCAGGGACCAUUUCUUCAUUUUCUGAAAGCACUUUAAUGAUUCCCCUUCCCCC
rnacentral:sRNA from 1 species